UUAUCGGAGAGUUUGAUCCUGGCUCAGGACGAACGCUGGCGGCGUGCCUAAUACAUGCAAGUCGAGCGGACAGAUGGGAGCUUGCUCC
rnacentral:rRNA from 5 species